AAUAGAGAGAGUGGAGCUCAAGGAUGUCAGCUGUGAGGUGAAAACUGGAUUUUCUGACAAAAAUGACAAUCUGAAUCUCGAAAUGAUGGAAAGAUGCCUGCAGCCUCCUUGGAUGGAAUAACUGAGAUACUGUCUGUGAACUGCAUGCAAAGGAACACCACGAGCACAAGCAGUAGGCAAAAUUUGAGAUUUGUGAGCAGAGAAAAGGAAUCCAUGCUGCCCCUGCAAG